GUACUCAUUUCAGCAGAACAUUUACUAAAACUAGAACAAUACAGAGAAGAUUACUAUGGCCCCUGUGCAGGGAAGACACAAAUUAGGGAAACAUUUCUUAUUUAA